rnacentral:rRNA from 1 species
UACAGAGGGUGCAAGCGUUGUUCGGAAUUAUUGGGCGUAAAGGGCGCGUAGGCGGCCUGACAAGUGGAAGGUGAAAUCCCUCGGCUUAACCGAGGAACUGCCCUCCAAACUGUCUGGCUUGAGACCGGGAGAGGUGAGUGGAAUUCCCAGUGUAGCGGUGAAAUGCGUAGAUAUUGGGAGGAACACCAGUGGCGAAGGCGGCUCACUGGACCGGUACUGACGCUGAGGCGCGAAAGCGUGGGGAGCAAACGGG